rnacentral:lncRNA from 1 species
GGAUCUCUGACCCUGGAGAGAGUGGGUCACGGUUAGAGGGAGGGGUGAGGGGUGAGACGUGGAGCGAGGAGACGAACCAAACACUUCCACGUUAGUUCCAGUAACUUCGGUGGAAAUUGCGAUGGCAACAAGGUACCAGAACGAUUGAUGGUGUAGAAAGAGCGGGACAGCGUUGAAUAGGAUAAAAGGUCUAACGGAAGUGUGUCAUUUGUGCAGCUCCUCGUUAGUAUAGUGUAAUAAAAGUCUCUCAGUUGGACACAUGGUUGCCCAGAAAAAGAUUACAUUUCCCUUCCAGUUUUGCAUUUAUAACAUGCAGUUUGUUACCUGAAAUAUAGAGUUGAUGGAUAGAGCUCUAACUGCCAUAUUGUAUCAGGAGUUUGGAGCCACAGGAGCUGGAAAGACAGGAGGAGCGUGACAUAGGAAUAGCCAGGUUUCUGGAGGUC